UACGGGGGGGGCAAGCGUUGUUCGGAAUUACUGGGCGUAAAGGGUUCGUAGGUGGCUUGCUAAGUCAGACGUGAAAUCCCUCAGCUUAACUGGGGAACUGCGUCUGAGACUGGCGAGCUUGAGGGCAGGAGAGGAACGCGGAAUUCCAGGUGUAGCGGUGAAAUGCAUAGAUAUGCCAUAGAACACCAAUUGCGAAGGCAGCUGGCUAGACCUGGAUUGACGCUGAGGCACGAAAGCGUGGGGAGCGAACAGG
rnacentral:rRNA from 1 species